rnacentral:rRNA from 1 species
UUUCUACUGAUUUUAUAGUAGAUAAGCCCUGCCCAACGUAAUUAAGUGGCCGCGGUACAAUAACCGUGCUAAGGUAGCAUAAUCAUUUGUUUAUUAAUUGUAAACUUGUAUGAAAGGGUAAACAAAAUAAAGACUGUCUCUAUUAUAAAUAUAUAAGCUAUUCUUCUUAUGAAGAAAUAAGAAUAUAAAUAAAAGACAAGAAGACCCUAUAGAGCUUAACUAUAAAUUUAUUAAAUAACAUAAAGUUUGGUUGGGGCGACCAAAGAUAAAAAAUAACAUCUUAGCAAUUUUAAGAAAAAUUUUUCAAUAUUAUGAUCCAAUAAAAUUGAUCAACAAAUCAAGUUACCUUAGGGAUAACAGGCUAAUUUAUUUUAAGAGCUCUUAUCUAAAUAUAAGUUUAGCACCUCGAUGUUGGCUUAGGGAGUCUAAUUUUUGCAAAAGAAAAUUAAGUAGGUUUGUUCAACCUUUAAUCCCCU